rnacentral:lncRNA from 1 species
AAAUCUGGGAGGUUUUAUCUGUUAGCACACAUCUCUACUCAAUCUCUGUUCAGGAACCUCCACAGCCAAACUGGAACAUUACAUAUGUGAGUUGUGCAGUUAAAACGGUGACUCUGAAGCCACCUUCCGCCCACUGAAACAGCGGAGAUCUGCCUCCCAGGGCAAAGAAAGGCAUCCCUCUGCCCCUUGGUUCUCUGCUGGUGUUGGUUCCAGUGUGGGCAGGAGUACGGAGCUCUGCUGUGUCUGAAACUACUUCCUGUGUUGUUGUAGGGGUCAUACAGAAAGGAUCAUGGAAAAGAAUGGCUCUCCUGAAAACAGCGCCGAGGGAAAUUUAAGCAGAAUUUCUGGAAUUUCAUGGUUUCACUCAACAGCUUCAGUACCCGUUUUGAUUAAGGCUGCAUUUCGUCACCAUCGGAACCAGCGUUUGGGUUUUUUUGUUUUGAGAAGAAACUCUGCUGCUGUUUUGACUCGGACCGCGCCUGGGUUCGGUGCUGGGAUUCAGCCUUAUUGGCACCAGAAGCUCAAACAAAGCUGAAGGAAGGAGGCACGAAACACUCCAUAAUUUCCUUGGAUCCAAUGCAGGAAAUAGAAUAUUGCAG